GACGAACGCUGGCGGCGUGCUUAACACAUGCAAGUCGAACGGUAAGGCUCCAGCUUGCUGGGGUACACGAGUGGCGAACGGGUGAGUAACACGUGGGUGACCUGCCCUGCACUUCGGGAUAAGCCUGGGAAACUGGGUCUAAUACCGGAUAGGACCAUGGUGUGGAUACUGUGGUGGAGAGUUUUUUCGGUGUGGGAUGGGCCCGCGGCCUAUCAGCUUGUUGGUGGGGUAUUGGCAUGCCAAGGCGGUGACGGGUAGCCGGCCUGAGAGGGUGGACGGCCACAUUGGGACUGAGACACGGCCCAGACUCCUACGGGAGGCAGCAGUGGGGAAUAUUGCACAAUGGGCGGAAGCCUGAUGCAGCGACGCCGCGUGCGGGAUGACGGCCUUCGGGUUGUAAACUCCUUUCACCAUCGACGAAGGGUUUCUGACGGUAGAUGGAGAAGAAGCACCGGCUAACUACGUG
rnacentral:rRNA from 1 species